rnacentral:lncRNA from 1 species
UCUCUCUCUCUCUCUCAACUAUAUUUGGUGUAAAUUGCGAGAUUUCUACGGAGGUUCUGUUUGUUUCGCACAAGUCUUGCUUCUGAUGUUGAAUUGAUUGGACCAACUUGGUAGUAACUUCUCGGAGGUGCGUCUCAAUUAUGCAAUUGCAACAUGCUGCAUGGACGUCCAGGGAUUAGGUUGUCGGAGAUGGAGACAGUGGAGCUGCGGGUAUUAACGUCUUUCUGGUUCUGGUGGACGUUGUGGGCAUCAAGGGAGGAGGCUGCAAUUGUUCUGCUGCGUGCUUAACUGAUUAGGUGAAACAAACUAGAAAAGUCUGGUGUGUGUGUGUGUGUGUGUGAGAGAGAGAGAGAGAGAGAUGUGACAUGUCAGAACAACCGUGGGGGAACUCUAGUAAAGUCUGUUGUUAAUCAGUUGUGACAUAUUAAACUUAAUAUACUAAAUGGCAAAUAAAACAGGAACACGGUAAACUAACAUCAUAAUAAAGAGGUUUACGCGUUUUCAUUACACCGCAGCCUAAUUAAACUUCAUUUUCUAUGUAACGAAAUAAAGUAUGUGCAUUGGGUUCCUUUGCAACAAGAAAUAUGUUGGAUUUAUUAUAAUACAGAAGUGACACACACAUACUUUGAGUGCAACUGCACGUUCUAUGAGUUAAAUAAAUUAAUGGAAGAGAAAAUAAGACAAAAGUGGUUGAGUACGUAUUAAAUUAUUUGUAAUUCAAAGGACUUUUUGAGAGAUGAAAAAAUAUACGAUACUUCAUUUCGAGGGAAAUGACAAAUUUUUGUUUUGCAAUUAUAGUGUCAGACAAAAUAAUGCAAUUUCAUACAUAUUCCAAGAAUUUAAAGAAGCUAAAAAAAUAAAUACAAUUAACUAGACUAAUGAACAAAACAGUGAGGUAGAUUCUACCUUAGACUUAUAAUUAUUUAUCAAUCAAAUGAAUCACGAUUGACAAUUUUCUUGCAGCUUCAACACUCAACCUUUGAACUCCCACGCAACUAUACGGUAGAGUGCAAGAAGCAAAAAGUGCAGUAUCAAUAAUAUUAAGUUAUCCGUGUAAAACAUCUUUAAAGUGAACUUCUGAAAAAAAAAAUUAGAGGUUUCAACUAUAAAAAGGUUAUAAAAAGGGAUAAUUGGUCAAAAAUCCCUCAAAAUAGUUUCAUUAUAGUAUAAAGAUGACUUAAAAAGAGACCUUAGCUUUAAGCAUUUUUAAGUUAUCUUUAUGCUAUAAUGAAAUUAAUUUGAGGAAUUUUUGAUCCAGAUUAAUAGCCGAUAUCAAUACUAAGCAAAUGAUAGUAUUGAUCUUAUUGUCUAAGAGGCAUGUGGAAGAAACAGCAAAGCAAAACAUCGAUAGACGGAAUGGCAUAAUUUUUAACAGCAUCCAUAGAUUUUUUGAAAUCUCUAUUCACGAGUGUCAUUUCUAUGCACCACCGACUAAGGGCAUACUAGUUACAUAAUAAAGCAAGUCUGUGGUACAGAGAACUUUCCAAUAACAACUAUAAUGAAGCAAAUUAACAAAAAUUGUCAAAGAUCACGACAAAGGCCGCUCAUUGGAACCAAUCUGGAGUCCCUUGAGUAACAACACAAGGAAAUUGCCAAAAAAUGUGUGCGCGCGUGUAACUCUACUAGGUGCCCAACAGUAUAAAUCAUAACUAGUGUGGCUCAGCUACGUGGAGCCAUUUCGUCCUAUUGGUUCAAUUCUCUGUUAUAUCUCUAGUAAAAUAUAACAUAGUCAUGUCUUUAUCAUCUAAACCAAAAAUUUCUUUUUCCUUCCUCUAUUUAUUUUACCUCACGAACACAGAACAAAUCACUCUUUACAGGUGUGUUAGCUGUCUACAAUCCACAUGAUCACACCAUCCCAAGCGACACUCCAUUGUCUUAUCAGAAAUGGGACACAACUGAUAUACAUCGGAGCACACAAUGCACAGAUAAAGCAUAACAGUCGAGACAUGUCAAUCACGAAUAGCUUCAAGCUUCCAACCACCAUUACCACAUCAAUAGCCUUGAUGCUGCACAAAACCCAGUAUUAAGUUCAUUCACGCUUCUAGGACCACUAGAUACAACGAUGAGAACAUCAUCCCAUUGCAAAAAUCCAAUGCCUUGACGGCAAAUCAUCAAGUGAGUUGUAACCUGCAAUUCUAACUCCACUGUCCAACUUCCUGACAUUAUUCUGCACCAAAACCAAUACAAUUACCCCCAUAGAGAUUGUGUCCGAGUCUCUAAAACCAACCUAACACCCCACCCUAUUCAAAACACCACUACCAUCAUCAAUUCACAUCUAAUCCAAGUGUUCAAUUGCUGCCACCAUUUUCAUUUGAAGGUAUAGUUAGUUGAUAUAUGCUGGUUGUUCAAUGUGUUAUGCUCUUGGAUGGUAAGUACAAGGUUUCCCUAUGUUGCAUGGAUUAGUGGAUUAGAUCAAAGAAUCCCCCCACCCCACCCCCAUCCCCACCCGCAUGCGCGUGCCGUCGAUCGGUUCUAAGCAUUUUCACGACCGAACCGAACU